rnacentral:sRNA from 1 species
AUAUCUCUCUGUACGGGAAGGAUGAGAAGGUUCGAUUCGAGCGUCAGCGAGAAAGCGUUGCCGCAGGCAACGACCCGAAGGGCGAAGCGCGCAGCG